GACGGGCCCGCACAAGCAGCGGAGCGUGUGGUUAAUCGAUGCUACACGAAGAACCUUACCAGGGUUGACAUGCAAGUGGUAGGAAACCGAAAGGUGGCCGACCCUUCGGGGAGCUUGCACAGGUGCUGCAUGGCUGUCGUCAGCUCGUGUCGUGAGACGUCGGUUAAGUCCGCUAACGAGCGCAACCCUCGCUGUGUGUUAUAUGUGUCACACGGGACUGCCGGUCUUAAGCCGGAGGAAGGUGGGAUGACGUCAAGUCAGCAUGGCCUUUAUAUCCUGGGCUACACACACGCUACAAUGGUCGGUACAAUAGGUUGCCAAGCCGCGAGGCGGAGCCAAUCCACAAAGCCGGCCUCAGUUCAGAUUGUAGGCUGCAACUCGCCUGCAUGAAGAUGGAGUUGCUAGUAACCGCAGGUCAGCAAUACUGCGGUGAAUACGUUCCCGGGUCUU
rnacentral:rRNA from 1 species